rnacentral:rRNA from 1 species
CAGUUCGGAUCGGAGUCUGCAACCCGACUCCGUGAAGCUGGAUUCGCUAGUAAUCGCGCAUCAGCCAUGGCGCGGUGAAUACGUUCCCGGGCCUUGUACACACCGCCCGUCAAGCCAUGGGAGCCGGGGGUGCUUGAAGUGCGUCGCCGCAAGGCGCGCCCUAGAGCAAAACCGGUGACUGGGGCUAAGUCGUAACAAGGUAAC